UCCUACGGGACGCAGCAGUGAGGAAUAUUGGUCAAUGGUCGGGAGACUGAACCAGCCAAGCCGCGUGAGGGAUGAAGGUACAGAGUAUCGUAAACCUCUUUUGUCAGGGAACAAAGGCGGGGACGCGUCCCCGGAUGAGUGUACCUGAAGAAAAAGCAUCGGCUAACUCCGUGCCAGCAGCCGCGGUAAUACGGAGGAUGCGAGCGUUAUCCGGAUUUAUUGGGUUUAAAGGGUGCGCAGGCGGUCUGUUAAGUCAGCGGUCAAAGCCCGGGGCUCAACCCCGACAAGCCGUUGAAACUGGCUUG
rnacentral:rRNA from 1 species